rnacentral:rRNA from 1 species
GAUGAACGCUGACAGAAUGCUUAACACAUGCAAGUCUUUGGCGAAGCUGUGCUUGCACAGCCUAGCCAAGGCGGACGGGUGAGUAACGCGUAAGGAACUUGCCCUGCAGUCAGGGAUAACAGACGGAAACGACUGAUAAGACCUGGUAAAGUCAGGCGGACUCAUGUCCAGCCUGAUGAAAAGAGAUGCUGCAGGAGAGCCUUGCGUCCUAUUAGCUUGUUGGUGGGGUAACGGCCCACCAAGGCGAUGAUAGGUAGCCGGCCUGAGAGGGUGGACGGCCACAAGGGGACUGAGAUGCGGCCCUUGCUCCUACGGGAGGCAGCAGUGGAGAAUAUUGGACAAUGGGGGCAACCCUGAUCCAGCAAUUCUGUGUGCACGAUGAAGGUUUUCGGAUUGUAAAGUGCUUUCAGCAGGGAAGAAAAAAAUGACGGUACCUGCAGAAGAAGCGACGGCUAACUACGUG